CUUCAAAUCAGAUUCUACGCCGUGUACUCAGACUCAGUGUAAGAAAACAAAUAUGAAACAAAAUC
rnacentral:sRNA from 1 species